AUUGAACGCUGGCGGCAUGCCUUACACAUGCAAGUCGAACGGCAGCAUAGGAGCUUGCUCCUGAUGGCGAGUGGCGAACGGGUGAGUAAUAUAUCGGAACGUGCCCUAGAGUGGGGGAUAACUAGUCGAAAGACUAGCUAAUACCGCAUACGAUCUACGGAUGAAAGUGGGGGAUCGCAAGACCUCAUGCUCCUGGAGCGGCCGAUAUCUGACUAGCUAGUUGGUGGGGUAAAAGCCUACCGAGGCAACGAUCAGUAGCUGGUCUGAGAGGACGACCAGCCACACUGGGACUGAGACACGGCCCAGACUCCUACGGGAGGCAGCAGUGGGGAAUUUUGGACAAUGGGGGCAACCCUGAUCCAGCAAUGCCGCGUGAGUGAAGAAGGCCUUCGGGUUGUAAAGCUCUUUUGUCAGGGAAGAAACGGUAGUAGCGAAUAACUACUACUAAUGACGGUACCUGAAGAAUAAGCACCGGCUAACUACGUGCCAGCAGCCGCAGUAA
rnacentral:rRNA from 1 species